rnacentral:rRNA from 1 species
GACGAACGCUGGCGGCGUGCUUAACACAUGCAAGUCGAACGAUGAACCCGGAGCUUGCUCUGGGGGAUUAGUGGCGAACGGGUGAGUAACACGUGAGUAACCUGCCCUGGACUCUGGGAUAAGCGUUGGAAACGACGUCUAAUACCGGAUAGGACCUUGGAUCGCAUGAUCUGGGGUGGAAAGUUUUUUCGGUCUGGGAUGGACUCGCGGCCUAUCAGCUUGUUGGUGAGGUAAUGGCUUACCAAGGCGUCGACGGGUAGCCGGCCUGAGAGGGUGACCGGCCACACUGGGACUGAGACACGUACCAGACUCCGACGGGAGGCAGCAGUGGGGAAUAUUGCACAAUGGGCGAAAGCCUGAUGCAGCAACGCCGCGUGCGGGAUGACGGCCUGCGGGUUGUAAACCGCUUUUAGUAGGGAAGAAGGGCUUCGGCUUGACGGUACCUGCAGAAAAAGGACCGGCUAACUACGUG